rnacentral:rRNA from 1 species
GACGAACGCUGGCGGCGUGCCUAAUACAUGCAAGUCGAACGCAGUGGGGACGGGUGAGUAACACGUGGGUAACCUCCCAUCAGAGGGGAUAACACUUGGAAACAGGUGCUAAACCGAUACUGAUGGAUGGACCCGCGGUGCAUUAGCUAGUUGGGGAGGUAACGGCCAAACAAGGCCACGAUGCCUAGCCGCCCUGAGAGGCGGAGCGGCCACACUGGGACUGGGACACGGCCCAGACUCCUACGUGAGGCAGCAGUAGGUAAUCUUCGGCAAUGGACGAAAGUCUGACCGAGCAACGCCGCGUUAGUGAAGAAGGUUUUCGGCGCGUAAAAAUCUGUUGUUAGAGAAGCGGUAUCUAACCAGAAAGCCACGGCUAACUACGUGCCAGCAGCCGCGGCAAUAC